rnacentral:rRNA from 1 species
UACGUAGGGUGCAAGCGUUAUCCGGAAUUAUUGGGCGUAAAGAGCUCGUAGGCGGUCUGUCGCGUCUGCUGUGAAAACCCGAGGCUCAACCUCGGGCCUGCAGUGGGUACGGGCAGACUAGAGUGCGGUAGGGGAGAUUGGAAUUCCUGGUGUAGCGGUGGAAUGCGCAGAUAUCAGGAGGAACACCGAUGGCGAAGGCAACCACCUGGGCCUGCACUGACGCUGAGGUACGAAAGCGUGGGGAGCAAACAGG